rnacentral:rRNA from 1 species
AAGUGUAAAAUUCAUAUAAUUUAUAUUUUUAUUUAAUUAAAGAGUGAAAUCUAAUAAGUGUCAUUAAAAUUAUAAAAAUAGUUAAGGGUUAUAAGACUAUAAAAUUAAGUUAUAAAAUAGGAUUAGAUACCCUAUUAUACUUUUUAUAAAUGUAAUUUUUCUUGGGUAGUAAAUAGUUAUGAUCUCGAAACUUAAAGAAUUUGGCGGUGUAUAAGUCCAGUUAGAGGAAUCUGUAUCAUAAACGAUAUACCACGAGUAUCUAGCUUUAUUUUGUAUAUAACCGCUUGUAUACCUCCAUUAUCAGAUAAUUUUUAUAAAAAUUUAUUGAAAUAGGAUACCCUAGAAUAUUAGGUCAAGGUGCAGCUUAUGGUAAAGUAGAUUAUGGAUUACAAUAUUUAGUAAAAGUAUUAUGGAUGAGGUUUGGAAGAUAAUCCUUUAAAAGUGGAUUUGAAUGUAAUUAAUGAAAAUUAAUCAUUAUUGAUAAAGGCUCUUAUAUAUGUACAUAUCGCCCGUCGCUCUCGCUUU